AACGAACGCUGGCGGCGUGCCUAACACAUGCAAGUCGAGCGAUUCACUUCGGUGAAGAGCGGCGGACGGGUGAGUAACGCGUGGGUAACCUGCCUCAUACACAUGGAUAACAUACCGGAAGGUAUGCUAAUACAAGAUGAUAUAAGAGAUUCGCAUGGAUUUCUUAUCAAAGCUCCGGCGGUAUGAGAUGGACCCGCGUCUGAUUAGCUAGUUGGUAAGGUAACGGCUUACCAAGGCAACGAUCAGUAGCCGACCUGAGAGGGUGAUCGGCCACAUUGGAACUGAGACACGGUCCAAACUCCUACGGGAGGCAGCAGUGGGGAAUAUUGCACAAUGGGCGAAAGCCUGAUGCAGCAACGCCGCGUGAGCGAUGAAGGCCUUCGGGUCGUAAAGCUCUGUCCUCAAGGAAGAUAAUGACGGUACUUGAGGAGGAAGCCCCGGCUAACUACGUGCCAGCCGCCGCGGUAACAC
rnacentral:rRNA from 1 species